rnacentral:tRNA from 1 species
GCAGGGGUAGCCAAGGCUGGUUAAAGGCACAGCGCUCAAGACGCUGUCGGUUAGUCCGUUCGUGAGUUCGAAUCUCACCCCCUGCA